rnacentral:lncRNA from 1 species
GUAAAGAGAGGCUGUAAGAAGGGGAGAGACUCUUUUGCAGGGUCUGCUAUGACAGGACAAGGGGAAAUGGUUUCAAACUGAAAGAGGGGAGAUUAAGGCAGGAUAUAAGACUAAAUAUAAGUUUUAUAGAAUAGCUAGAAGUUUGCUGUAGUAAGGACAGUGAAGCACUGAAACAGCUUGCCCAGAGAGGUGGUGGAUGCCCUGUUCCUGGAGACAUUCAAGGUUAGGCUGGACCAGGCCCUGAGCACCCUGAUAUAGUUGUAUAUGUCCCUCUUUAUUGCAGGGGAGUUGGACUAGCUGGCCUUUAAAGGUCCCAUCAAACUCUAAGGAUUCUAUGAUUCUAUGUGUUUUCUCAGAGCAGGCUGCUCCUGCAGAUGCAUUUGGAGAGCAGAAUAGGUUUCCAGCUAUAGAAUGCAAUCGGGAACAGUCAGCAAUAUGGCAGUUCUGAGCUUACAAAGUGCCUUACCAGCAAGGCUUUUCACUACUCUGAGCCACUCCAGCAGAAAAUAAGGUAGUUUUUCCACCUCAUCUGUGCUCUCCUCAUUUCCUUUGGGAAGUCAGGUUUCCAUAGGAAACCAUGCUGUUGGAAGCUGAUUCUUCCAGAGGUCUAACACUAGCCUCUGUAAGUCAGGAAGGCAGCUUAGCAGGCCCACUGGGAAGUAGCAGAUGGAUAGGAAAAUGACAUGCUUUCCAAAAGUAUUUAAAUAUCAACUCUCUUUUGUUACAGCUGUGUAAGAGCCAUAUAAAAUCAAGUAACAUGUAGGAGAGAAAAGGGGUCAUGAAGGAGGAGUUUGAGCAAAAAGUAAUGCUAAAAAAGAAAAAAAAAUCCAUUGCAAAUGGUAAUGUAAAUAAGGUAAAACUUGAAAACUAUGAAGCAAUACUGCAGAUAGUCAUGUCUGAAGGAAUACCUAGAGGGUUCUUUUUGGUGGUGAUCUUCACUCCUGGAUCUGAAUUUUUCUGGACUGUCUCCCUUACCACUUCUGCAGGACACAAUUGCAACAGAAUUUUCCUUGAAUCAACGGAGGACUAUUACUUGAUGAGAUCAUUGUUUUCAGGAAGUGUUAUAGAAAUGCGAUUACCAGACACUGAGGUUUUUUAACGUAUAAAAUAGGAAAGAGAGAGGACAAGCUGUGGUGAAGAAAAUGCAAGCAUUGUACAACUCAACAGACCUCCUGUCCCAGAGAGAUUUAUUUACUGGAAAUUACGACUGUUUAAGUCAGACAGAGGUACAUGCCCGCUUCACCCUGAGCCCUUCUGCGAAUGGUCAGAAACAGAAUACUGUGUGAUCUCAAAAAGAUUCAGAGCAAACAUGGAAGACAGUUAUGUUUAAAUGACACUCUGGUUGGGCAGGCACUGAACGCAGUAACAGUUUCAACAUAGACACCUUAAACCUUCCAGUAUUCUAUUUUAGGUUUGUUCUUCAUUCUUGCAUCACAGCAGGAGUUGUACCCUUUAUCAGUGUUGAUGUCUUCUUAAAAGAGGGUCUGUGACCGCAUUUGAAGUAUCUCUACUACCAGUUGUGGUGAUUUCACCCUGAUGUGCAGCUAAACUACUACAUCAUUCUCCUGUUACUCCUACUCAAAGGAAGAGGGGGAGAAAAUGAAAUGAAAAAAGGCUCAGGGUUUGAGAUUACCGUCACUGAUCAGUGAUUAUGAGAAUAAAUAAACAUAGUGUGGAAAAAUCUUUGUAUAGUCAUUAAAAUACCCAAGUGUGGCAUUCUAGUAGAGAUUUAAUAAGGAGAAGAAACUGACCCUCAGACUUAGGAAUUCAUUUUCUUUACUUUUCUACAAGGACAGACAUACAUCUCUCUAUCUAAUUUAUAUAUACAUACGUAUAUAUAAAGCAAAGCUUUUAAAGAAUUUUUAUUUAUCAUUGUAAAAUCUCUACUUAGAAUUGGAAAGAGAUAGAAAAAAAAAAAGUAGACUUUGAUUAUCACCUUGAUACAUCUAAGUGUUUACAGUGGGAGCUAAGCUGUAGCAUAGCAAUGUAAUAAAAAUAGAAAGUAAAGUGACGUAAAAAGUGCACUGAGGACUACCUUAUAACUAAUUCCAAACGUUCAAGAAUAGUAAAUGGUUAACAGUGAUGCAAAAGGAAAUUACAGAAAAAACAAUCAAAAAGGACUCCUAAACAAUGAAAGGAAACAAAAAAUUAAUAAAGCAGAAGACUGAAAAACAGAUAAGGAGAGCAAAACGGUGAAAGAUUUCACAGAAGAUUAUGAAAUUAGCACAAAAAAUUUUUAAACAAUCCUAAGAAUAAACUGUCAUUGAAGAACAGAAUAGGGAUUGUGGAGGAUCAUUUUUUAAGGGAUGAGGUAAAAAAAGAUGGAAAAUUUAAACAAAUUCUUCGCAUAGCUGUUCAGAAAGAAAUGUCAGCUCGCAGAGCUGUAGAAAUAUAGGUACAUAUUUUCUGGAGCAAAAGGAAGGAUAAAACACCUAAGUAAACACACACUGUAUGUGACAUAGUACAGAUGACAAUCUUAGCAUGUAUCACAUAAAAUAAUUUCUCAGUGCUAAAGCAUAUGCACUUCAGAAUUCACAGAAAGGGACAAAAAACAGCAUCACUCUUCACAAGACUAAUUUACAUCACUUCACCAUUCAGAUAACUUUUCCUUUUCAAAAUGUUGCUUUGAAGUCACAUGGGCUACUUACAUGACUGACAACUCUAGGACUGCAGUGAAAAAGAAGUUUCAGUGGAAUUAAAGAAAAAGUAACGGGAAGUGUGCAGGAGGUAUCUGUGCAAAGAAGGGCCCCAUGCAACUCCUCUCACAGCUUGCCUCUAAAAACUCAAGAACUGGGUUUAAAUGAGAGAAACACCUUGUCUUUCUGGCAAGUUUUAGCAAUGCCUUCUAUGCAGGAAAGCAAUUUGCUUCAAGACCAAACAGAAAUGCACACUGGUUAAGAGUGAUAUAUUACAAAAACAACAGAGUAUAGCUAAAUUCAGCAAAUUAUGAAGCAAUGGCUAUUUCAGUGAGAGUCAGAGAUUCGUCUAAUGAGAUCCAGGAGUUUCAGCUCUGAACAAAAAGUGAUGAAUUCAAGCUUAAAUUCCUACAAGUAACCCCUAUUCUACAUUAAAGGUAACCAUCCAUCACAUUUUUAACUACAUCUACAAGGGAGUUCAGUAACUUCAGUCUAAAAAAUUCAAAACACAGACAUAUUUUCAGCCAAAACAAAGCCAGAGCCAGCAGUAAUUUUAAUUCUUUUCACUAAGUAUUGUUCUGGCCAUAAGACUAUGUGUAAAAUGGAUGUGGUUGAAGCCACAAUGGACUGUAAGGUUUAUAGGAUGAACAAGUUGCUAAGGAAGAGCUUGCAUGCCUAAAAACUUACAUUAUUCCAGCUGGAGUGCAUCCUGUAACAACAGUACUUCUUUAUUCUUCCAUAUCUUCCCUAAAAAGCUGAGCGCUCUGGCUGAAGACAGGCCAGGAGAGGCGCAUGGAUGUUUGCCUUCUUCAUGUUGCCUGAAAACCUAGUCCUUGUCUCAUCUGGGAACAGGACAGUCAUGCCAAGUGGAUGCAUCUCCCUGCAUCUGUGGAGAGACAGCAAAUGUGCUGUCUGGAAAGUAUCUGUGUUCUAGGAGGUGAGAAACUGGCUUGGGCUGUUUGAUUUCACUUCUACUCAGAGAAAUGGGGCAAUGAACUUUCUAAUAAACAGGUUUGGUUCACAGAGGGAUGACUCCACCAUCGAUCAUUCCACCAGAGGAAUAACUCAAGAUUCGAAAAUUUUAACCAGAUAAUUUUAUCAAAAGAAUAAUAAAAAAAAAAAAAAAAAAAAAAAAAAAAAAAGGACCAAGUAAUGACUUAAAACAAUUGCUGUGAUAUUACAUCUACAUAGGAUCUACUGGCCUAUAUGUCAGUUUUAAUCUGCCACUGGUUAAAUCCUACAUACUGAGCAAAAUAACUUACCAACACAAUACAUGCAAAGUAAAUAAAUACUCAAGCAACACUCUAUGUCCCACAUCCACUCAGAUACCAGAAGUGUGUAUUUCCAGUCUGUGAAAUACAAUGAUAAGUAAAAACAGUGAUUCUCCAUGAGUGCAUUACUCAGAAGAAGCAAUGUUAAGGCAGUCAGUGUGAUCUUUAAAAAUCACUCCCAGUAAAUAAAUAAAUAAGCACCUCUACCUGCACAGCUAUCUGAAGACAAGUUAACAAAUUCUGUUUUCCACUUAUUAGCAAAUCAGUUGUUCUGUAAAGAAUACAUGAUCAAAACCUACAGCAACAGCUGGCACAUGUAUAAAGCGGGGCAAAAAAAUUAAGAUGAAGUAUUUCUGACAAAAAAAUAUAUGAAACAAAACAAAGUUGAAAACUGAAGCAGAUAUCAGAUAACCAUUUUGUCAUUUAUAAAAUACUUUUUCAGGACAAAAGGGGUUGCCAUACCUUUUCACUCAGCAUAUCCUCAGAGUCACAUAUUAAGCUGAUCAAAUCCGAGGGUACUGCAGUAAGCUGAAGCUUGAAGCUGCCUCCACUUCCUUCAUUUCGUUUACAGUUUUGUUUGGGGGUUGUUCUUUUUUUUCUUUUUAGCUUGCAGAAACCUGAGGGAAAAAAUAUUUUGGGGGUUACUAUCGAAAUAGUUUAUUCAGUAGUCAAUUAACUGAAAAAAACAAAUAGUUCUAAACUGAUCUCUUAUAUACCAUGCCCCUUUUUAUAUCAUAGUUAUUGGUUCCAUUCUGUUGUUAUAUUUUACUGAAAACAUUAUGAAUAUAAAUGAGAAUAGUGCACAAAGAGCAGAGGUGAAGAUAUGUCCCAUUAGAAAUCUGCUUUUUUACUUACAUUUACUGAGGUUAUCAAGUACCUCUUUAUGAACUCUUCAUCCCUUUCUAAAAGGUAAAGUUGAAAUUGGGAAAUAUAUUGCAUCAGUUAUUGGGCAUUCUGGGGUUUUCCAUUAUUUUAAAAACCUCCUAUGUGCCUAAUUAUAGCUAAUAAGUACUGUUUAGAAACAUAGCAGAGAACUCAUGAUUUCCUUCUUCACCCAAUGCCCAGAAAAUCCAUGUCCGAGAACAAAAUCUUGAAGGUAUUUGUGAUCAUGACCCAUUCUCAUUAUCUGUAUCCAUUCUAAGAUUUUUAUAUUAUAUGAAUGAAUAUUUUAAAGUGAAAUUAUAGUAUUCAAUGGCAAAUUACAACUACAUGUGACCAAGAGAGGAUUAAACCCAUCAUUUUGCUUAAGAGCUCUGAUGGCUGGAGUAAUUGGAUGAUAGCUGUAGGGCAUCUUUUUGGUCUGUAAUUAGGUCAUUUCUUUCUCAUCCCUUCACUGUGUGUAUAAUUACGAAUUAAUUUGAAAUCCCACUGUGAGUAAAGAAAGUCAGUUUAAUAUAACGGAAGUGCAAAAGCCACAAUAUAUUACUUUUUAAAAACUGCUUAUUUCAAAAUACUCAGUCUGGCCAAAAGUUAUAUCCCUAUGUACUGCAAGGCUUAUAUUUGGUUUCUUUGCUAACUUUGUACAAGUGCUGCUCUGAAAGUAAUGCCUCCUGUUUUAUUAUGUUGGUGUGCAAUGUCAGAGGUGGAUUUUGGUGGUACAUCAGGAGAGGUUGAACCUUCACACCAGUAUUCCACUACAUUUUGUUGCUGUGUGACAGAUGGCAGCAGAGGGUCAGUCUGACAAAAUGGCUUCUGACACGGAAGCAUCUGAGAAGAAAAGAUGUGGAACUGAAUUCCUCCAUGUGGUAAAAAAAUUGCAUCCAUUGACUUUCACUGAUGCUUGCUGAACAUUUAUGGAGAUCAAACAGUGGAUGUGAGCUCAGUGAGGUUGUGGGUAAUGUGUUUCAACAGCAGUGAUAGUGGCAGUGGUUCACCUCCACCGGUGCAAAUUUUUACAAGAACAGCAAGCAGGUUCUCGUUCAUCGUUGGCAAAAAUGCAUAGCUAAUGACAGUGAAUAUGCAGCAAAAUAAAGUUUGUAUUUGAGAAUUUUCUCUAUGAAAUAGUGUUAUUGUGCUCUUUGUAUUUGUUGCAGUUUCUAUGGAAAUAAACAGCAAGUAUUACUUUUGAAUCAAUCUACGUUCCUGGAUGUAUUUUCUCUCUUAAAAUAAAUGAAUUUUCAAAGCACCACACUUUGCUCCAGUAUCUGUCAGUAGGUGUCAACAGCACAAAAAGGUAGUGGAAAGAAAUAAAAAGUAACCAUGAGAGUCUUGACAGACAGUAUUAGCAUCAGAGAACUUAGAGGCCACUCUCAACACAGUCAACCAUUUUAUCCUUUAGUCCUGCCAUUAUUUCCUUCCACUGAAACUACCUUUCUGCUUUUACCCUGAAAGUGUUAAACACUGCACAACCCUAACUAGCAUACCUGCUACUAUGUGCAUCAGGAGCUCACCAUUUCAUCAUCUGGCUGAGAUAUGCUGCUGGCAAGUUCUGCUUCCCUUCCUUUAUCACAACAUUGUGGUCGGAUGCAUCAGACCUCCCUCCCGCCUUAGCAAUGAUACAGGUAAAAACAUGCAUUUCUGACAAAUGGAUAACCCCAAGCAGAUCUGUGGAGACAAUGUUUUGACUUGCUGAACUUCCUGUUUCAUUCUGUUUUCAUCUGUCCCCAGAAACCUUGAAAGGGGUCGGUGAGAGGGUCCCAGGUGUGAUCUGAGCACCAGUGAUGUCAACAGCGAGCCAGGGGCUGUGCAGGGUGUGAAGUUAAAGGGAAGAGCAGAGAAAAGACUGUUGGUGCAGAGAACAAGGGUACUGAGAUUUGACUGUAUUUGUAGCUGUGCUGUAAAAAACUGUAAAACAUCCCAUGCCGUUAGCAUAAGAUUAGAUUUCUGCCAGGAAAAAAAAAAAAAAAAAGAGAGAGAGAGAGAGAACAAAAAGAAAUGGAACUGCUUAGAUAUAAGUUCCAAAGUUCAUUAAGAGGGUUCUUUUCUGCAUAGCUCCAAAGCUAAGAUGUGCUAAGGCAUGUAGAAAAAUAAGGAGGUGUUAAAAACCUACCCAACUUCUUAGCUUUCAAAAAAAGUUCAAAGUCCUAGUCAUCGAUUAUUUACAUGGUGACCUCCAGGCCUAUUUGUGAUGCCAAAAAAAUUGUACUCAGGAAGGAAGGAAGACAUUAUCAAAAAGGAAAGAAUUUCUGUUUAAUCUAAUAAUGCCUUUAUAAAAAUAACCAUUUUCUUUUACAUAUAAUAAAAAAUUCAUUAGAAAAUCUCAACAUAUUUUUAUAUAAAAAUAAUAACUGGCAACAUAGCUAGAAAUAAGAAGCAGAGAAAGAAACUUGGAUGCAUUUCUUGCUUGCAAGAGCAUGAUGAGGAAAUAAGGUAAUCUAGUCUUCCCAUUCUGAACAAAAUAGACAUGAUAACAGAAUAUAUAAAUCAAGACAUUUUUGGAGAAAUAAUGUCACUCCAUAAUUUUUGAAAGUAGAAAUAAUUUAAAAUUCAUGCAUGAAACUAAAUAGGUAAAAUAUGUCAUUUUGAAAUAACAUAACAGUAAAAAUAAUUUGUAAAACUUUUUUUGUUUUUUAACUGAGUCUCAUUUUAUACUUGGAAAAUUUUCUUUAGAAAAUUUUCAACCUCUUCUAUGUAGCUCCUGGGUAAAUAUGGAGGUUUUAUGGAAACCAAACAAAUGAAUUAAAUGACUACAAGAAUUAUUGGCUCUAAAUAUAUACAUUUUCUUCUGAUGCUACUAGAAUGUUACUAGUAUAUACUGUAUGAAUUAUAAAAAAUGUUAUGACAGAUAUGGAAGUAAUAUACUUCGGUGAUAAAUCUUCAAUAGAAAGAAUUUAUUAGAGUCAUAUAGAUCUACU